AGAGUUUGAUCCUGGCUCAGGACGAACGCUGGCGGCGUGCCUAAUACAUGCAAGUAGAACGCUGAAGAGAGGAGCUUGCUCUUCUUGGAAGAGUUGCGAACGGGUGAGUAACGCGUAGGUAACCUGCCUUGUAGCGGGGGAUAACUAUUGGAAACGAUAGCUAAUACCGCAUAACAAUGGGUGACCCAUGUCAUUCAUUUGAAAGGGGCAACUGCUCCACUACAAGAUGGACCUGCGUUGUAUUAGCUAGUAGGUGAGGUAACGGCUCACCUAGGCGACGAUACAUAGCCGACCUGAGAGGGUGAUCGGCCACACUGGGACUGAGACACGGCCCAGACUCCUACGGGAGGCAGCAGUAGGGAAUCUUCGGCAAUGGGGGCAACCCUGACCGAGCAACGCCGCGUGAGUGAAGAAGGUUUUCGGAUCGUAAAGCUCUGUUGUAAGUCAAGAACGAGUGUGAGAGUGGAAAGUUCACACUGUGACGGUAGCUUACCAGAAAGGGACGGCUAACUACGUGCCAGCAGCCGCGGUAAUACGUAGGUCCCGAGCGUUGUCCGGAUUUAUUGGGCGUAAAGCGAGCGCAGGCGGUUUGAUAAGUCUGAAGUUAAAGGCUGUGGCUCAACCAUAGUUCGCUUUGGAAACUGUCAAACUUGAGUGCAGAAGGGGAGAGUGGAAUUCCAUGUGUAGCGGUGAAAUGCGUAGAUAUAUGGAGGAACACCGGUGGCGAAAGCGGCUCUCUGGUCUGUAACUGACGCUGAGGCUCGAAAGCGUGGGGAGCGAACAGGAUUAGAUACCCUGGUAGUCCACGCC
rnacentral:rRNA from 1 species